GAUAAACGCUGGCGGCGUGCCUAAUACAUGCAAGUCGAACGAAGAAAUGUAGCAAUACAAUUCUUAGUGGCGAAUGGGUGAGUAACGCGUUGGUGACCUGCCCCAAAGAGAGGGAUAACAGUUCGAAAGGACUGCUAAUACCCCAUGUGGCUGCAAGGGUUAGAGACCUUGCAACUAAAGGAGCAAUCCGCUUUGGGAGGGGCCUGCGUCCCAUCAGCUAGUUGGUAGGGUAAUGGCCUACCAAGGCAACGACGGGUAGGGGGCCUGAGAGGGUGGUCCCCCACACUGGCACUGAAACACGGGCCAGACACCUACGGGUGGCAG
rnacentral:rRNA from 1 species